CCGAGUUUUUUUAACUAAUGUACCUUAGGCAAAAUGUUUCAAAAUUGGCUUAAUAAUUUACCUAAAGACCUUGCAUAAGUGUUAGAAAAGAAAUGAAUAAAAUAAAUAAAUUUUCGGGGCCAAAAAGACUCAACCGAUCAAGGCUAUGCCCAACCGGCUUAACCGAUUAAGGAACCAGUCGACCGGUUGUGGUCGUCCGGUAGAGAACCGGUCGAGGGAGGUCAAAA
rnacentral:lncRNA from 1 species